rnacentral:rRNA from 1 species
UACAGAGGUCCCGAGCGUUGUUCGGAUUCACUGGGCGUAAAGGGUGCGUAGGUGGCUUGGUAAGUUUGAUGUGAAAGCUCAGGGCUCAACCCUGAAAUGGCAUUGAAUACUACUGAGCUGGAGGUUUGGAGGGGGGACUGGAAUUCUCGGUGUAGCAGUGAAAUGCGUAGAUAUCGAGAGGAACACCAGUGGCGAAGGCGGCUCACUGGCCCGGUACUGACGCUGAGGUGCGAAAGCGUGGGGAGCAAACAGG